rnacentral:lncRNA from 1 species
CGAUCUAAACAAUCUCUGGUGCAGCUGCAAAAAAGAGAAGGAAAUACAUUUAUUUUGAUUCAUUAUUAUAUCUCCUCCCUUCCAUGCAGGAUAGAUUGACAACUGGUAACAUUGCACCUGAGCAAAUAAAUAUUGAAAGCAAUGAAGGGCAGCCAUCUUCCUCCUGGGAUACUGAUGAUAACCAAUAUAAAAUGCAGAAAACACCUGUUCGACGUUCGACGAAGAAAAACGCACAAAAACUUACAUCGUACGAAAGCACAUUAUUAAAUAUAUUAAAAGAAAAACAAAAAGAAGAAUUUAACGAAGA